rnacentral:rRNA from 1 species
CUACCAUGCAGUCGAGCGGUAGCACAGAGAGCUUGCUCUCGGGUGACGAGCGGCGGACGGGUGAGUAAUGUCUGGGAAACUGCCUGAUGGAGGGGGAUAACUACUGGAAACGGUAGCUAAUACCGCAUAAUGUCGCAAGACCAAAGUGGGGGACCUUCGGGCCUCAUGCCAUCAGAUGUGCCCAGAUGGGAUUAGCUAGUAGGUGGGGUAACGGCUCACCUAGGCGACGAUCCCUAGCUGGUCUGAGAGGAUGACCAGCCACACUGGAACUGAGACACGGUCCAGACUCCUACGGGAGGCAGCAGUGGGGAAUAUUGCACAAUGGGCGCAAGCCUGAUGCAGCCAUGCCGCGUGUGUGAAGAAGGCCUUCGGGUUGUAAAGCACUUUCAGCGGGGAGGAAGGCGAUAAGGUUAAUAACCUUGUCGAUUGACGUUACCCGCAGAAGAAGCACCGGCUAACUCCGUGCCAGCAGCCGCGGUAAUACGGAGGGUGCAAGCGUUAAUCGGAAUUACUGGGCGUAAAGCGCACGCAGGCGGUCUGUCAAGUCGGAUGUGAAAUCCCCGGGCUCAACCUGGGAACUGCAUUCGAAACUGGCAGGCUAGAGUCUUGUAGAGGGGGGGUAGAAUUCCAGGUGUAGCGGUGAAAUGCGUAGAGAUCUGGAGGAAUACCGGUGGCGAAAGGCGGGCCUCUGGACAAAGAC